rnacentral:tRNA from 1 species
GCAGGAGUGGUGGAACGGCAGACACGCUGUCUUCAGGCGGCAGUGCGAGCUAUCGCGUGAGGGUUCAAAUCCCUUCUCCUGCACCA